rnacentral:rRNA from 1 species
GAUUGAACGCUGGCGGCAGGCCUAACACAUGCAAGUCGAACGGUAACAGGAAGCAGCUUGCUGCUUCGCUGACGAGUGGCGGACGGGUGAGUAAUGUCUGGGAAACUGCCUGAUGGAGGGGGAUAACUACUGGAAACGGUAGCUAAUACCGCAUAAACGUCGCAAGACCAAAGAGGGGGACCUUCGGGCCUCUUGCCAUCGGAUGUGCCCAGAUGGGAUUAGCUAGAGGUGGGGUAACGGGCUCACCU